rnacentral:rRNA from 1 species
UACGUAGGGUGCGAGCGCUGCCCGGAUUUAUUGGGCGUAAAGGGCGCGUAGGCGGUCACGCACGUCCGUUGUGAAAUCGCUCGGCUCAACUGGGCGGGGUCAGCGGAUACGGCGUGGCUGGAGCAAGCUAGGGGGCAAUGGAAUUCCCGGUGUAGUGGUGGAAUGCGUAGAUAUCGGGGGGAACACCAGUGGCGAAGGCGGUUGCCUGGAGCUUUGCUGACGCUGAUGCGCGAAAGCGUGGGGAGCGAGCCGG